UGGGCGUUAAGUUGCAGGGUAUAGACCCGAAACCCGGUGAUCUAGCCAUGGGCAGGUUGAAGGUUGGGUAACACUAACUGGAGGACCGAACCGACUAAUGUUGAAAAAUUAGCGGAUGACCUGUGGCUGGGGGUGAAAGGCCAAUCAAACCGGGAGAUAGCUGGUUCUCCCCGAAAGCUAUUUAGGUAGCGCCUCGUGAAUUCAUCUCCGGGGGUAGAGCACUGUUUCGGCUAGGGGGCCAUCCCGGCUUACCAACCCGAUGCAAACUGCGAAUACCGGAGAAUGUUAUCACGGGAGACACACGGCGGGUGCUAACGUCCGUCGUGAAGAGGGAAACAACCCAGACCGCCAGCUAAGGUCCCAAAGUCAUGGUUAAGUGGGAAACGAUGUGGGAAGGCCCAGACAGCCAGGAUGUUGGCUUAGAAGCAGCCAUCAUUUAAAGAAAGCGUAAUAGCUCACUGGUCGAGUCGGCCUGCGCGGAAGAUGUAACGGGGCUAAACCAUGCACCGAAGCUGCGGCAGCGAACGUAUCACCCAAGACAACUUUACGGAGUUGACGAUUGACGGAGCGAAGCGACGUCAAAGCGUUCAUUAAAGUCGAGUUGGCUUAGGGAUACGUUCGUUGGGUAGGGGAGCGUUCUGUAAGCCUGUGAAGGUGUGUCGUGAGGCAUGCUGGAGGUAUCAGAAGUGCGAAUGCUGACAUAAGUAACGAUAAAGCGGGUGAAAAGCCCGCUCGCCGGAAGACCAAGGGUUCCUGUCCAACGUUAAUCGGGGCAGGGUGAGUCGACCCCUAAGGCGAGGCCGAAAGGCGUAGUCGAUGGGAAACGGGUUAAUAUUCCCGUACUUGGUGUUACUGCGAAGGGGGGACGGAGAAGGCUAUGUUGGCCGGGCGACGGUUGUCCCGGUUUAAGCGUGUAGGUGUGUGUUCCAGGUAAAUCCGGUUCACUUUAACACUGAGGCGUGACGACGAGGCACUACGGUGCUGAAGCAACAAAU
rnacentral:rRNA from 1 species